rnacentral:rRNA from 1 species
AGACAGGUGCUGCAUGGCUGUCGUCAGCUCGUGUCGUGAGAUGUUGGGUUAAGUCCGCAACGAGCGCAACCCUUGCCUUUAGUUGCCAGCAGUUCGGCUGGGCACUCUAAAGGGACUGCCGGUGUUAAACCGGAGGAAGGUGGGGAGUGACGUCAAGUCCUCAUGGCCUUUAUGACCAGGGCUACACACGUACUACAAUGGCCGAUACAAAGGGCAGCGACACUGCGAGGUGAAGCCAAUCCCGUAAAAAUCGGUCUCAGUCCGGAUUGGAGUCUGCAACUCGACUCCAUGAAGUUGGAAUCGCUAGUAAUCGUGGAUCAGCAUGCCACGGUGAAUACGUUCCCGGGCCUU